UACGUAGGGGGGCAAGCGUUGUCCGGAAUCAUUUGGGCGUAAAAGAGCGUGUAGGCGGCCCGAUAAGUCCGCCGUGAAAAGCCCCAGGGCUCAACCCUGGGAUGCCGGUGGGAUACUGUCGGGCUAGAAUCCGGAAGAGGCGAGUGGAAAUUCCUGGUGUAGCGGUGAAAAUGCGCAGAUAUCAGGAGGGAAACACCGAUGGCGAAAGGGCAGGGUCUCUGGGCCGAUACUGACGCUGAGGAGCGAAAAAGCGUGGGGGGAGC
rnacentral:rRNA from 1 species